UAAUAUUUAUUCAAAGGAGUGGAGAGUCGGCCGAUUACUACAACCUUCUUUGACAAAGUUGUAGUAAUCGGCUGACCCUCCACUCCUUUGAAUGACUAGGAGUU
rnacentral:pre_miRNA from 1 species